ensembl:lncRNA FAM85B family with sequence similarity 85 member B
CAGAAUCAACGGUUUCUGGGUCUGAGAAGUUGCAUACACACUCUCAGUCCCUGUAUCCUGAGAUGGAGUCACCUGAGGAUCCACAGCAAGUCCUAACCAGGGAUGGGUCUGGGUGAUUAAGGAAGGUUGGCUUCAGAACUGGGCCAGAGGCACUGCUUUGCUUUUGCUGUUUUGAUCAGCUCUGUGCCUGCAUGAGACAAGGAAAAUCAAUGGGAACAGCUGGGGAAACUGAGUUACAGAGCUUUUCUGCACUGAGUCAUCAGGAGCAAAUGCUAGAUCAGAUAGAGUCUCUCUCUCUGCCACCCAGGCCAGAGUGCAGUUGACGCAGGGCAGGGGAGCCCCGAAGUGGAGCAUAGUGUGUCCGGAACUGGUGGGUUCUUGGUCUCCCUGACUUCAAGAAUGAAGCCACGGACCCUCGGGAAAUGAGGCUUCUCCCCAGGACCAGCAUUCCACGAAGGCAGCCCUUUUCUAGAUGGAGAAAACAGAACCUGAAGACACCCGUUUCCCUAAACUGCUCUCGCUCAUGUUUCUACAAGGCCUGGAGCUGAUAGGAAAAACCUCCCUUCUUUCCCAAAUGGUCCCCAGCUGCCCCGUUCACUGAAGGCCCUGCAGUCAGGAACGGUCAGGACUUCACACCCAGUUGUUGUGGGUGUUUGGCCGACACGACACUUCCUCUUGUGUGAUUCAUGGACCCGCAGCAUUGCGUCACCUGGGAGCUUUUGGUAUUGAAGACUCUCAGGGCUCACCCGGAAGGACCUGCUGGGCCAGAAUCUACAUUUUAACAAGAUGCCC